CAAGCAUCAGAAAAAUUAUAAGCAGUAGCACCACAUGCUCCUCCUCUUCCCUAAACGUACCGCCACCAUUUCCAUCGGUAUCAUCACUUUAUUCCCAAUCCCACCACCACCACCACCACCACCACCACCACAAAUGCAACAUCUAGUAUUGAAAUCUUCAUCGUCACCGCCGCCUCUAAAUCAAGAACAUACAGAUUUAGAAAUGGAUUGAUUAUCUUCUUUCUCUUUUUGGAUUUGUAUUCUCGUGAUACAAAUCGAAAUUCAAGCUAUGUUUAUUCCUAAAUUGGUGAAGGAGAUUCAAGGAUGAUGAAAUUGGUGAAGGAGAUAGUGGCGGUUCUGGUUGUUGAGGUGGUGGUGGAGAUUUGGUGUGAUUUUGGUGGUUGGGAGAUGGUGGUGGUGGUGAUUUCUUGUGGAUGUGAAAGAAGAAAGGUAUUCAAAUGAUGACGGUUUGUUCUACUUUCUCUAUUGUUGGCUAUGGUGAUUUCUAUUUUAAUUUUGAAUAAUAUAAACUCAAAUUACAAUAUCAUUUUGAAUUUAUAGUUCCAUUUCACAAAUUACAAUCGUUUUUAAUGGAUCUGAAUUCGUUUUUAGGUUUUCAAUUUUCUAAAGUUGAAAACAAGCAGAGUCUUUUGCAUUUAUGUGAAUGGCGACAAUUUUCAAGCCAAAUUGGAUUCGAUUCGUUUAUUUUUGUUUGCGAAUUAGGGGAUUUAUAUGGCAGAGAUGAUUUCUCAUAUGAAUCAAUUGGUCUUUACAAGCAUAAAAAAUUGCAAGUGUAUGUGCCGGUUUAUCUAGCAUUUCCUUUCAUUUUAUGUUGAAUGUAGCCAAAUGUAUUUAGAUAUUUAUGCUCGGAUGACAGCUCUUCGGAAGAAUGGGGCCUUUGUACAUAUUGGGAGGAUAGUGUGGAAAGCUUAUAUGAAGUAUUGAAAUGAAUGAGGUUACAAUUUUCGGCUUCAGAUUUUUGGAAACAACCUCAUCAAGUUGCUUCCAUCUUUGGAAACAACUUGACCAAGUUGCUUCCACUGUUGGAGACAACUGAUGCUAGUUGCUUCCUUUUUCUGGAGACAACUUGUAUCUAUUGUCUUCCUAUUAAGUUUCAGUUUCGUUUUUGAUUUGUUUUAGUUUGUCUUAUCAGGUAAAAAUGGUUGUCCUAGAGAUUAAAUUUUGCAUUUAAAGCAUUUUUCAUGCAUUUCUGAUUUAAUUAUAGUUAGGAGGA